UCGGUAUCCAAGAAGAACAGUUAUCGGAAUCAAUUCUGAGUCUCGCCAUAACUGGGUCCUCUCCGUUAUGACUGUUAGUCUCCUUUCUCUCUCCCCUUUUGUUUUCUUUUUUAUGUGCGAAAUAUUGAUGAAAUUAUGGUUUCAAAUUUUGAGGUUAUUUUUGCUUUGUAAUAAUUACUCUUUUAAGUACAGUUUAGCUAUUAUGAUUUGAGCUGCUUAACAUUCAAAUUGUAGAAAGGAAUGUUGUAAUUAGCUAGUUUAGGUAACCGAAUGAAAGAAAAAUAACAUUACCAACCCAGCUAAUAUAGGGUUAGCCCGGUGCACACGGCCAUACUCCAAGAGCUGUGAUGUAGACAGCUUACCCUAAUGCAAGCAUUAGUGGCUGCUUCCAUGGUUCGAACCCUUGUUCGGCUUUUAAUUCAUGCGCCCCUGGCCCUCGGAAUUUUGCGUUGUAAAAGAAAAAUUAUAAUCCAAGCUAGCCAUCUGGACUGAUCGAUCGUCUCGACGAUUGGUAACCGGUUGAUAUGGAAAUGCGAAAAAUGGGGAAAGUGCAAGUUAGAAAGUGAGUAAGUCCAUGAUAUCCAAGUUUUGGGUUUUCGAAGUGAAAGAUUGAGCAGCUGUGGAAUAUAAAGCUGCAAAGGGUAGUUCUUAGAAAGUGGAAAAGAAAGUGCUCGAGUGAUUCUCAUCUUCGGGAGCUAGUAUUAACAAAUGCCUAUCUUUUCAAUAUGUUUUUAAUGCCUAGUUUGGUGAUUUUUGCAGUGUGUUAUUGAGCAAGAGAACUUAAGGUAAUCUGAUGUCAAUUCUUCUCGGGUUGGAUCCCUUUCCCCUAUUUUGCUAUUUACUUCCUCCAAGUAAGAACAAAGUGUAUAAUCACAACAACAACAACAACAAGAAGAAGCCCCCAGUAAUUUCCCACAAGUGGGGUCUGGAGAGGGUAAGAUGUAAGCAACCUUACCCGUAAGAUGUAAGCAACCUUGCCCCUACCUUGGAAAGGGCAGAGAGGCAAAGUGUAUAAUCACAUAUAAUGUAAUAUCUACCCUGGUUUUAUGUACCAAACUCCAAAGCAAAAUCCAGUAUGUACUUCACUGAAUAGAAAGUGCUUGCCAUUGCAAGUUUUAUCUUUACCAGUUCCUGAAGAUCCCGUCUAGUCUUGUUCUUUGCUCUGCAAGACUUGUUUUGAUUAACCGUGAGUUUUCUACUAGAAUUAGAACUGCGGGCCUUCUGUAAUAACAUUUAGUUUCCUUCAAGAGUUCCUUUUCUUCUCAAAGAUCUAUCCUAAUAAGUCUCAUGCAAUUGCUCUUGUUUCCAUAAUAUUUCAUGUAUUCUAUUUUAUUUUUAGUUAGUAUUUAAUGUACUUGUACUUAUACUUUCUAUGAUGCUGAUUAAGAAUCUUC
rnacentral:lncRNA from 1 species